AUUGAACGCUGGCGGCAGGCCUAACACAUGCAAGUCGAGCGGCAGCGGGAAAGUAGCUUGCUACUUUUGCCGGCGAGCGGCGGACGGGUGAGUAAUGCCUGGGGAUCUGCCCAGUCGAGGGGGAUAACUACUGGAAACGGUAGCUAAUACCGCAUACGCCCUACGGGGGAAAGCAGAGGACCUUCGGGCCUUGCGCGAUUGGAUGAACCCAGGUGGGAUUAGCUAGUUGGUGAGGUAACGGCUCACCAAGGCGACGAUCCCUAGCUGGUCUGGGAGGAUGAUCAGCCACACUGGAACUGGGACACGGGCCAGACUCCGACGGGAGGCAGCAGUGGGGAAUAUUGCACAAUGGGGGAAACCCUGAUGCAGCCAUGCCGCGUGUGUGAAGAAGGCCUUCGGGUUGUAAAGCACUUUCAGCGAAGAGGAAAGGUUGGUAGCUAAUAACUGCCAGCUGUGACGUUACUCGCAGAAGAAGCACCGGCUAACUCCGUGCCAGCAGCCGCCGUAAUAC
rnacentral:rRNA from 1 species